rnacentral:rRNA from 1 species
GAUCAUGGCUCAGGACGAACGCUGGCGGCGUGCCUAAUACAUGCAAGUCGAGCGAAUGAUUAGAGAAGCUUGCUUCUCUCUGAUUAGCGGCGGACGGGUGAGUAACACGUGGGUAACCUACCCUAUAGACUGGGAUAACUUCGGGAAACCGGAGCUAAUACCGGAUAAUACUUCGAAACACAUGUUUUGAAGUUGAAAGAUGGUUUCGGCUAUCACUAUAGGAUGGACCCGCGGCGCAUUAGCUAGUUGGUGAGGUAACGGCUCACCAAGGCAACGAUGCGUAGCCGACCUGAGAGGGUGAUCGGCCACACUGGGACUGAGACACGGCCCAGACUCCUACGGGAGGCAGCAGUAGGGAAUCUUCCACAAUGGACGAAAGUCUGAUGGAGCAACGCCGCGUGAGUGAAGAAGGAUUUCGGUUCGUAAAACUCUGUUGCAAGGGAAGAACAAGUAGCGUAGUAACUGGCGCUACCUUGACGGUACCUUGUUAGAAAGCCACGGCUAACUACGUGCCAGCAGCCGC